GCCUGGGUGGCUCAGUCGGUUAAGCACCUGACUUCGGCUCAGGUCAUGAUCUCACAGUUUGUGAGUUGGAGCCCCAUCUCAGGCU
rnacentral:tRNA from 1 species